UUCUAUUUACAUGCCACUGGGUCACAGUACUGCGACAGACUGGCGACCUGUCCAGGGUGACCCGCCUCUCGCCCGGAACGAUAGCUGGAGAUUGGCACCAGCGCCUCCCGACCCCACGAAGGGACAAGGGUGCACAGAAAAUAGAUGGAUGGAAUUAAUAUUAGUGAAAAAG